rnacentral:rRNA from 1 species
AUGAACGCUGGCGGCGUGCUUAAUACAUGCAAGUCGAACGGAAAGUGUAGUAAUAUACUUUUAGUGGCGAACGGGUGAGUAACGCGUUGGUGACCUACCCCGAAGAGAGGGAUACAGUUCGAAAGAGCUGCUAAUACCUCAUGUGGUCAUAGAGGUUAGAGUCUUUAUGACUAAAGGAGCAAUCCACUUUGGGAGGGGCCUGCGUCCCAUCAGCUAGUUGGUAAGGUAAUGGCUUACCAAGGCGACGACGGGUAGGGGACCUGAGAGGGUGACCCCCCACACUGGCACUGAAACACGGGCCAGACACCUACGGGUGGCAGCAGUAGGGAAUAUUGCCCAAUGGGCGAAAGCCUGAGGCAGCAACGCCGCGUGCACGAUGAAGGCCUUCGGGUCGUAAAGUGCUUUUCGGGGAGAUGAGGAAGGACAGUAUCCCCGGAAUAAGUCUCGGCUAACUACGU